UACGUAGGUGGCAAGCGUUGUCCGGAUUUAUUGGGUUUAAAGGGUGCGUAGGCGGUUCCAUAAGUCAGUGGUGAAAUACAAUAGCUUAACUAUUGAGGUGCCAUUGAUACUGCGGAACUUGAGUACAGACGAGGUAGGCGGAAUUGACGGAGUAGCGGUGAAAUGCUUAGAUAUCGUCAAGAACACCGAUAGCGAAGGCAGCUUACUAGACUGUAACUGACGCUGAGGCACGAAAGUGUGGGGAUCAAACAGG
rnacentral:rRNA from 1 species